GAUGAACGCUGGCGGCGUGCCUAAUACAUGCAAGUCGAGCGAACGGACGAGAAGCUUGCUUCUCUGAUGUUAGCGGCGGACGGGUGAGUAACACGUGGAUAACCUACCUAUAAGACUGGGAUAACUUCGGGAAACCGGAGCUAAUACCGGAUAAUAUUUUGAACCGCAUGGUUCAAAAGUGAAAGACGGUCUUGCUGUCACUUAUAGAUGGAUCCGCGCUGCAUUAGCUAGUUGGUAAGGUAACGGCUUACCAAGGCAACGAUGCAUAGCCGACCUGAGAGGGUGAUCGGCCACACUGGAACUGAGACACGGUCCAGACUCCUACGGGAGGCAGCAGUAGGAAAUCUUCCGCAAUGGGCGAAAGCCUGACGGAGCAACGCCGCGUGAGUGAUGAAGGUCUUCGGAUCGUAAAACUCUGUUAUUAGGGAAGAACAUAUGUGUAAGUAACUGUGCACAUCUUGACGGUACCUAAUCAGAAAGCCACGGCUAACUACGUGCCAGCAGCCGCGGUAAUACGUAGGUGGGCAGCGUUAUCCGGAAUUAUUGGGCGUAAAGCGCGCGUAGGCGGUUUUUUAGUCUGAUGUGAAAGCCCGCGGCUCAACCCGUGGAGGGUCAUUGGAAACUGGAAAACUUGAGUGCAGAAGAGGAAAGUGGAAUUCCAUGUGUAGCGGUGAAAUGCGCAGAGAUAUGGAGGGACACCAGUGGCGAAGGCGACUUUCUGGUCUGUAACUGACGCUGAUGUGCGAAAGCGUGGGGAUCAAACAGGAUUAGAUACCCUGGUAGUCCACGCCGUAAACGAUGAGUGCUAAGUGUUAGGGGGUUUCCGCCCCUUAGUGCUGCAGCUAACGCAUUAAGCACUCCGCCUGGGGAGUACGACCGCAAGGUUGAAACUCAAAGGAAUUGACGGGGACCCGCACAAGCGGUGGAGCAUGUGGUUUAAUUCGAAGCAACGCGAAGAACCUUACCAAAUCUUGACAUCCUUUGACAACUCUAGAGAUAGAGCUUUCCCCUUCGGGGGACAAAGUGACAGGUGGUGCAUGGUUGUCGUCAGCUCGUGUCGUGAGAUGUUGGGUUAAGUCCCGCAACGAGCGCAACCCUUAAGCUUAGUUGCCAUCAUUAAGUUGGGCACUCUAAGUUGACUGCCGGUGACAAACCGGAGGAAGGUGGGGAUGACGUCAAAUCAUCAUGCCCCUUAUGAUUUGGGCUACACACGUGCUACAAUGGACAAUACAAAGGGCAGCGAAACCGUGAGGUCAAGCAAAUCCCAUAAAGUUGUUCUCAGUUCGGAUUGUAGUCUGCAACUCGACUACAUGAAGCUGGAAUCGCUAGUAAUCGUAGAUCAGCAUGCUACGGUGAAUACGUUCCCGGGUCU
rnacentral:rRNA from 1 species